GUGUGUGUGUGUGUGUGUGUGUGUGUGUGUGUGUGUGUGUGUGUGUUUGUCUUUGCUACAUUGUGGGGACCAACACCUGACAGCCCAGUCAUAGUGUGGGGACCAAAAAACUUGUGGGGACCAAAACCCUGGACCCCACAAUUUUUAUCAUUGAUAUAGUGAUAAAAUGACUAGAUAGACGUUCUGUCAAAAUUUCAGCGCUUUACCCACAAUACACGAAAACCAACUUUUUUGUGUGAAGUGUGUGUGCUCAGUGCUGCCCCUGUAGACAGAACAUGGUACUGCAUCUACACACAGUUACGCACACUUUCACACACUUGUCUUGUUUUUAUGCCAUUGUGUGGACAUACACAGAACAAACUUGUCUUGUUUUUAUGUCAUUGUGGGCACACACAGAUCACCCAGUUUUUGAUCUGUUGUGGGGACACAUUGCGCAACUACAAUAAUACAAAAAUCCCUCUCAGGUAAAAGCUUUAAUAUAUACAACACUUUGAGUUAUAUAAAUUAUGUGUAUUAAAACUUAUACAUUCAUUCACAAGACACCUUCGCGUUUUUUAACAAACUUUUGCGGAUCUUUCCCAACAGAUGAAAGCGUAAAAUGAUCCAAUUUUUCAAGCCAUGGGUGAAAGGUGUAGGUGGUUCAUUACCAUUUUAUGCUUAUGAAUACACGAGAUGAUAUCUCGAAAAUGUUUCAUGCACAUCUCAACGUUUAUUCAAAUAACUAGUCAGUUUUACCAUGUUUGGAGUUUACCUUUAAUUCUGAAUGAAAACUGAUCCUUUUUGGAAACUGAAAGCGUAAACAAUCGGAAAAACGAUGUUUCCUUUAUCCUAAAUUUGCUAACCAUCUAGGAUUUUAGAAGUUUUAGGAAGUUUGAAAUUCUCAAAUUCUGUUCAGUGACGGACUUUAAGCAGAAGCACUUAUUUGGAUUUUGUUGUUUUUCAAUGUCUUAAAUUAAAAUGUUCAAUCUAAACUCACUGAAGCACUUCAUUACGACAAGCAAUUGCUACAAAGUAUGGCAUCAAAUGCGAUGCAAUGAAAAAUAUGGGUCCUAGAUUUUGUGCUGGUGCAUCCAAAAAAAAAGUUAGGCACACCAAUGCAAGCAAUGCAAAACGUGUGGAGCCCUGCCUCACAAAACAUUCAGAUUUUCCAGACUGGCAUCUUUUCCUACCACUGGAGCCAACUCAUAAUGUGAUCAGUUGACAGCUCCACCUCUCUCUUCACCCGAGCGUCCAUGACAUUCAGCCGCAGGCCUAAUGACACGACUACAAAGUCAUUAAUUGAGCUGCGGCCUAAGGUGUCCAGGUGCCAAAUGGACAUAUGGACUUCUUUAUGCUUAGACAUUGUAUAAAUAUUGAUAUGCAAUGAGCGCAGAUUUCCAGGCAUUAAAAACCACUCAGGAGCUGAUCUGGGGGUGUUUGGGGUUACUCUCAAUCAUGCCCCUCCGGGUCUUGCUGUCAUUCAGGUGAGGUCAGGUGUGGGGACACGUGCAAGGAAGACGCUUCGCUGCGUUCACCCUCGCGCUCCACUCAGCGGCUGAUCUCCUAGCGUAGGUCCGGGCGCCUUCCCGGCCCGGUACCCUUACAUUCGCAAGAUUCUCUUCCAGCUACUACACAGCACCCUCUGUUCCAGAGUACAGAGCCGGGAUGAGAACAAGGUGCAGUGGAAUGCUGCGGAGCUCCAAAAGUCUCCACAAAGCGUCUCUACUCACUGACUCCAACGCCUUCCUGAAAUCGACAUAGGCAGCUAAUACUUCCUUCUCAUAUUCAAGAAGUCGCUCUGAAAAAACGCGAAGUGCUAGGAUGCGGUCGACAGUGGACUUCUUUGGUGUGAGCCCAGACUAUUCAGGACGCUGGUGAUCGAGUAGCUGCUGACGUAUCCUGUUCAGAAGUACAUGUGUGAAGGCUUUGCCGGGCACUGAGAGGCGGGUGACCCUGUGGUGGUUGCUGGACUCUCGAAUGUCACCCGAGCUCCAAACGGAGCAGAUGAGUGCCUGCAACUCCCGCAGGGCGGCGUCGGCCCAGCUUUAAGCGUCUAUCCGUAGACACCGCAGUUGCCUGGUGCACUCCCAUCCCCCAACUGGCCAACAGCCUUUCGGACAUCCUCAAGGGUUGGCACAACAAUGUUGACCAGUGGGUCAGGCGUCAGGCAUGCAAUGCCCUUGGCGGGGAGCUCUCAGCUGGGAGGCUCGGCCCCACGCAGCUCCUCAAAGUACUAAACCCAGCGCCACGGGGCGUCCUCUUCCGACAGGACUGUGCCAUCAGCAGCUAGAACCACCGUGCAGCUUGGACGGGAGGCAGAGAAACGCAGCUCGUGGAUGACUUAGAAAACCAGACGAGCGUCGCCGGAAUGUGUGUCCUCCUGCUCCCCAUGAACUGUGCAGAUGGGCUUUCUCCUCAGCUGCCUGUAGGGCUCGGAAUUGCGGUCAAGUCUUGCCUUGCGGCUCUCGUCGAUGAUGUUUAACGUCGCUUCCGAAAGCCCACUCCGAUGGCCCCGGGCAACUUUGGGAUGCUGUCACUAGCUGUCGCCCGGACACAGUCCCUGAAGCCAGUCCACAUAUCCUGCGCCUCCCCCACAACGCCCAGUCGCCCAAGCCAUUCUGUCAGGUUUUUGGAGUGCGCGUCUGCCACCCGGGGGUCCCGCAGGCUUCCGACAUCCAGCCGAAUUUGGCUGGCCGUCGCGCAAUGCGGCAUGCCCCUAGCUGUAGCUUCAGUGUCGCUACCAGCAACUGAUGGUCAGUGCUGAAGAACUGGCCACUCUGGAAGACACGACAGUUCCGUCCACGAGUACAUGAUCGAGCUCCUUCGCAGUUCGGCCAGUAUUAGAAUACCAGGUCCGUAAAUUCGGCCUCGUGAACCACGACCCUCCAACCCGAAGACCGCGACUUACUGCAAAGUCGAGCAGCCUCUCGGAGUUGUCGUCACAGAUUCCCUUGGGGACACGUUCCAGAGCUGUGAGGACCGAGACAUGACUCCUAGCAGUCCCAUGACGUACGAGUGACAGUGUUGAAGUCGCCAAGCAUGAUCCUUGUGUCUCUCUUUGGAACAGCAUCCAUCGCCGAUUCAAGCUCAGUGUAGAAGGCUCCCUUCUUUGGAAGCUCACUUUCCCUGGUUGGAGCGUACACUGCAACAAACGACAUAACGCCCACCGAGUGAGCGGGUCGCACCCUCAUGGUACGCUCUGAGACCAGCAUGACCUCCCUGACCUGCGAAGCCCCCCUGUUGGCCACCACAAUGGCCAAACCCUCGGUGCGCCGACCUUCGGCUCGACCCGACCAGUCAUAGGUGUAACCACCUACCUUGAUCUGGCCACUGCCUGGUCGAUGAAGGCGACUACAGCGAUGCCCAACCUGGCAAGCUCAAAAGACAAGGCAGACACGCUGGCAUCAUCUUGGAGUGAGAGCUUGUUCCAGGCGUCCAUCCAGCGUCCACCCGUUCCGAACGCCUCAGAAUCAGCCGAGAGCGUCGAGGUCCAGUGGAUGACUCCUCAGCGCCACUGCGACGCGAGGCGUGCCCUCACCAACCUGGUUACUUGCCCCCUCAUCAGCCGGCGGGGGUCCGAAAGGCUUUGCGGCGAGAAUUUAAUAGGGUGGGGGUGCAAACCCCACUCCCCGAGGCUCCGGUGGCAGGGCCCGCCACAGCCCUUCCAGCCCGAUUGGACCGGACAUCUGCUGCUGUUAAUGGCACAGAAACAUGAUCGUUUGCUUCUCACCCUUACAGUUAAAAAUAAUAAUUUAUUUUUCUUAUCAAUGGCAGCCACAGAGUUCAGUCCAAUUUCUGGGGCUAAUUGCCAAAUGAGUUGUUGUAUUUAUUUGAAAUACAGUGAAGAUGAAUGGGAAAGUGGCUGUUUUCCCCCAAAACAUUCAGAUAAACACUAUAUGUUUUCAUACCCUCCACAAAAGUCUGCCUACCUUGCCAAGUCAACCAGAAUAACCACGUGGAGAAAGAAUAGAACUGCUUUUGAAAAAAAAUCUUAAAGUAAUCUUAAUCGGGCAGUAUGUUAUGUAUGUAUACUAUGUUGACGGGAAAAAACACAUCAUCUAUCUAUCUAUCUAUCUAUCUAUCUAUCUAUCUAUCUAUCUAUCUAUCUAUCUAUCUAUCUAUCUAUCUAUCUAUCUAUCUAUCUAUCUAUCUAUCUAUCUAUCUAUCUAUCUAUCUAUCUAUCUAUCUAUCUAUCUAUCGUAGCGGUAAGACGUUGGAUGGAGUCUUAUUUCCCGUGCUCGGCGGCUCAUGUGUUUCUUGUAACUCGCUAGGAACUCUGCUGCUCUCUGUGAACUCUGAACUCAGCCGGAACGCGCGCGGCUCUAAAGUGUCUGUCACGUGACUGUGACGUAGCCGGUAACGCGCUCGGCCAAAUGGACACACAAGUACGAUGGGUGAAUAAUGUCAAACAACAAAGGGUCACCCCACAGGUCCCCCCAGAAUUCACCCACACAGGACGCCAGGCGCAACCCGAAUCAAAAGAACGGAAUGCAUGAGUUGCUCUGCCGGGGCGUCAGUGGAAAACGACCGAACAGACGGUCAGGCGGCCGUCCAGGACGCCGGAUGCGGGAAGUCUGAGCAGAACAGUCUGGAGGACGCCCAGGAUGCCAGGCGGCGGGCGACCAAAAGCGACGACCAGGAUGCAAGGCGGUGGACGACCGAGCAGGACGAUCGGGCGCCCGUCCAGGACGAGGAGCGCGUCGCGCAGCUCCGCCCAGGCGAGGCCGGAGAAGCGGACGCCAAGAGAGGCGGCACGCGUUGCUCAGCUGCGGUCGAGGAAGAGGUCGAGACGUGCGACGUCUCGGCGGAAAGACUAUGAAGUGCUGUGCUCUGACCGCCGUCGAGUACCCGAGCGCGGCUACCACGUGGUAGAAGCGGAUGGUGUCGUUGGAAAUACCACGGAGGACGAACUGCUCCUCCGCGAACGCGAACAACGCGGCCGCAGAAGACUCAUUAAACGUCGCCAGCUCGAAAAAGCUAGCGUCCGCCAUUCCUUAAAGUGUUCAAAAAUGCCUCUGAGACUUCAGCGAGGCUCGUCGGGGUCACCAGGGUAAGCGGUAAGACGUUGGAUGGAGUCUUAUUUGCCGUGCUCGGCGGCUCAUGUGUCUCUUGUAACUCGCUAGGAACUCUGCUGCUUUCUGUGAACUCUGAACUCAGCCAGAACGCGCGCAGCUCUAAAGUAUCUGUCCGUGACUGUGACGUAGCCGGUAACGCGCUCGGCCAAAUGGACACACCAGUACGAUGGGUGAAUUAUGUCAAACAACAAAGGGUCACCACACUAUCUGUCUGUCUGUCACGACUUAUUGCAAUUAACUCCUAGCAUGCGACUGCUAUGAGUGAUAACCUUGAUUUUUGUGCUUUACCCAACAUACCCUUUUUUAUUCAGUGUUAUUACAGGUUUUACCAGAAAUUUGAGUAAAAGCAAACAAUUUUUUGAAUUUAUAUAUAUAUAUAUGUGUGUGUGUAUUUUAAGACGUGCUUUUGGAAAUGAACUCUUCUUAUGUAAAUUGUGUUUCCUGAAAAAGGUCACUCAAAUAUAAUUAUUAACAACCACACAUUAAUUAAAGUUACAGUGAGACCCCUUCAGACCCGCAGUUUUACUGAUGGGGAAAAAAAUAAUACAAUCUGCCCUGAUUUUUACUCAAACACCACAACAAAGUGCAAUUUUUUGGUUUGGUUAUUUAAAGUUUUUAUUGGUCAUUUUUUAUGUUAAUGUGUUUUUGAUGACAAACGGGCACUUUACGUUAUUCGUUUUGAAAGAGCCAAAAAUAGCAAAGAGGGCUUCUCACUACUCAUGAUUUGAUUUCAAUGGGUAAAGUUUCAUACAAUCAUCUCCCAGAAGUGACAAUUGCAACUGAAUUCACUGUAUUUAUUGGUUUAGAGAUGCGCACGCAUCAUGUCCUCCCGCAGCAAGUCUGAAGGGGUUAAAACAUAUUGACGUUCACAGCUGGCGCGGGAAGACUGAUUAAGCACCGCCCAAUGCAUUGCAGAUGAGAACAAUUGAAUGAGAGGAGGAAGUGCAACUUUUGGAAAGUCACCCUGAUUAAAGUACAUAUACUACCUGUUUUAACGCAGAGAAUUGGCAAUGCCUUCCCUGAGAAGCAGGAAAUCACCAAAACAGGAUGCCAUUGAACAUGCUUUAAUGGGUCUGGAUAAGACUCUCGAGUUGGAGAAGAAGUACAUCAGUUCUUUUAAAGGUCGAGGAGUAUUUACCAAAGCCCCUUUCAGGAAAGAAGAUUUUGUGGUGGAGUACAGAGGAGAAUUAAUAGAUUGGGAUGAAUCCCAAAAGAGAAAGAUGGACUAUGGAACAGGAAGAGUCUUUGUCUUUGAUUUCCGCUGGCAAGAAAAAACUUGGUGCAUUGAUGCUGCCAAAGAAGAUGGCAGUCUCGGAAGACUGGUCAAUGAUGACCACAAGCACCCAAAUUGUAAAAUGAAGAUGAUUGCGACAGAGGGCAAGCCUCACCUGUGUUUAUUUGCACAAAGGGACCUUGACAUUGGUGAAGAGAUAACUUAUGACUACGGACCAGCGGACUGGCCUUGGAGGAAAAAGGUUUGUCAAAUAAGUAUCAGACAUAAAAAUAACUUGCAACAGAGCUUUGGUCCCUCAAAUGUUGGGGUUUCCAGUUUGUUUUCAUUUUAUGGUAAACAGGUUGACUGUUUGUAGGCUAACCACAAACUAAUUUAAAAGUUGUUUUCCUCCUUAUCACAUGAUCACAUCAAUAGAAAUUGUAUGUCUCCAUUUGCGGAUCAGGACAAAGGACAAUCGACUGUGACGAAAACUGCUGAGAGUGAAAUUUCCAGGACCAGAGAGCAGCCUCCACAAUCUAAAGACUUGGAUAUGGAGGUUGGAGGAAGCCAUUCCACUGUGACUGAAUAUUCUGAGGUUGGGGUCUCCAGAACCAGAGAGCAACAGUCUCCGAAAUCUACACACGCUGCAAUGGAGG